CACCGAGGUUGUCAAGAGCUUACUGGUCUGGCGCAGGCUGCACCCACCACCUUCCUUCUGUGAUGUUAUUGGGUGUUUGGAAGAUGGCAGGAAAUACCUUACCCAGCUGUUAGGUCCAGCCUCACCUCACAUCUCUUCCUGGGAACGCACAUUUCCAGCUGCCCCCGGACAUCAGUGUGCUCUGCCCAUGAUAAUGGCAGAAGCAGACUCAGAGGUGGCAGUUUUUUAUUUUGUCUGGAAAAUUCAGAGGUCUAUUCAGAUUCUCAUCUGAAUAGCUUCUGACUAUGGAAGGAGUCCCCGCGCCAGCCUGUGGGUCUUUGGCAUGAACCUCCUGAGAGCAAGCAUCUAUAGUGGUUGCUCUCUGCUCGUGGUUUGCUUGUGAGGCUACUGCCCAGUGUCCUCUGAGGGCUUAGGAUAAAUGCAGUUGUCUUUAAGGGAUAAGUCCCAGGAAACCCGAGCCAGGCAGAGAGGUAGGAGAACACUUUUUAUUCUUGAUGGUUGCACUCGAGGAAGCAAGAAUACAGAAGCUAAGUCGCCCCCUGUGAAGGGAAAAACCAACAGUCAGAGAGAACUUCCAGCAAGCUCAGAAGCCAGAGACACAUUUUAUAAUGUCGGGGCCUUCAGUGUUGUGAAAAUCAGGUAACCGUCCUUGCACAGGAGCCGUAAGACCAGAAUUCUUCCGGCUUCUUGCAUGGUCUCCCUCUCCCAAGUAAAGGAGAAGUGAAGGCAGGUUCACUCCACUUUGGGUUUUGGCCCAGAGACCUAAUCACACUGAGGAAGUUCGUCAUGCUGGCCCUCAGCCUCCCGGCAGGCCAAACAGCCUUGUCUUGCAGAGAGCUGGGCCUUGCCUACUUGCCCCUAUGGCGGGAAAGGAGCUCUGAGGCCUCCAGCUCAGUGGAUCGAUCGGGAAAGCCAGACCUGCAGCGUGGCCGGGCCUGGCAGGGUGCACGUGGGCAGGCCAGUGGCCCCAGCUCUCAGCUGCCUCCCCAGAACACCCUCUCCCAACAACACUGGAAGUGGGGGUCCUCUUCAUUGGCACAGACCUUGACACUCAGAGGCAAGAGCUUAGAAGUUAAAGUGAGAAAGGAGAGAGGUUCUCGACAGUAUAUUGGGCAGGCCCCCUUGGGGUUCAUCAGUGGCGGGGGCUGUGGGUGCCAAAGAAUGGAUCAGACAGUGGAGACCAAGUUAAGUGACAAAGCACUGUACGGGACGCAGGUUGUCAGCUCUGAGUUACAGUUUCCCGCCAGGUGGUCUCCAGGGAGGUUUUGAACAUCCUUUGUCAUUCCUCCUAGGUUUGGGGCUGUCUUUUGUAAGUUGCCUACGUUUGUGUUUUCUUAACCGAGGCUGGGUGCCUGUGGUCCAGGAAGGAUGAGUGGCCGCCGCCCCGAUGGCUUCCUGGCGUGCCUGGGACUCACUCACAUGCUGCAGUGCUUUGCGGGGCAGCUUCUCCGAGUGGGCGAUCCAUUCUUUCAUUAAGUCCAGGACGAUGGGGAUGAGGCUGACGACGCCUCCGUAGUGAUUCCUGGCCUCGUCACAGCUUAGGUGGUUCACCACAUCAUGAGGGUACCUGUGGGGUGGCAAGAGGGACUCAUCCAGACCUGGGGCAGGCUCUGAUCCAGACUGCAGACAUCAGAAUCCCCUGGGGAGGUUUCAGGGCUGCAUGGGCCAUACCACACUCUCUACCAGAUGUUGGGCAACAAACCCUGGCUAAUCCUGUUGUGAGGGGCAGGACUCUGGAACCACUCACCUGUGGUUGUAGAAACCCAGAUUAGGGGCUGUGGAAACCUGCCAUAACUGCUCCAAAAUGUACUGCUUAGUCCCUCUGACUCUUCUUCACCCCAAUAACUAAACCAUAUGCUCCAGAAUAUGGCACUUUGUGCCGAGGGCGCAGAAUUAACUAGGUAGCCACACUGGCAGGGCUGGGGCUUCUCUGUGGGCUUCUGGGAACAUGUGCUCUGUGAUCCCCUUCCCUUUGCCGGGUGUCAACUCCAGUGAGAGGGCUUGCGUCCCACUCUAUCUUCAGCUUCAGUAAAAUGAUCGGUGGGGUUGGGCCAUCCAAUAAAUCAGUGGGCCUGAGAUUUCCCACCUGGGCAGGGGGCCUGGAGGCACCUGCCCUCAUGCAGAAGGCUGCUUCUUCCUGUUGGACCCCUCCUUUCCAGCCCCGCCCUGCUGCCUGGGCCUCCAAAACAGGCCCAGAAGCGACUUACUUUGCUCUAAGGUUGCUUAGGUCAUUGCUUUGGCUAACCAGGGAUUUGCAUUUCUCAAGCAGGUUGUUGGUGACUGGAGUGCCAGAGUGCAGGGCCUCAAAGUGCUGGCACAGCUUGUUCAGCUCCGAGCAGAUGUCCAGGAACAUGAGCAGAAUGCGCCGGUCUGUGGAGUUGUUGCAGUAGUGCUCUGUGUAGCUCUGCACCUGUGAGGGCCCACACGAUGGGAGCUGAGGCAGCACCACUGGGCCCCUGGGCCUCUCCCUGGGAAAGGGAUCUUCCAUAGGAGAACAAAAGGUAGUCUUUACCUCACACCACACACCAAAAUCAACUCUAGGAUGAAGAGCUUCAAUGCCAAAACAACACGGAAGCUCCCAAGUGUUCCAGGUACAAGAGCAGGGAAACCUUUCUGAAAUCAUUAAAGGUGCUCAGAAUGGUAA